CUGUCUAUGAUUCCUUCUUUUCCUUUGUUAUCUAUACCUUAUUCCUUUAUUGAACUUUCACCACUAUCAUAUUAAAUAGCAUCAUCUCUUCUGUAACAAAAAUUUGAUCCAUAACAUGCAUGUUUGGGGAAUAAUCACAUGAAGUUGACUCCAUGGUUAGUUACCAUGGGUUCAAGCUUUGGAGAGCCCACAACGAUGUGUACAUGACAUAUACCUAGUCUAUCAGAUUUUGUGUUAUCACCCAAAUUCUUGGAGAAGAUGUUAUGAAGGAUCGACGAGUUGAAGCUGUGAGAAUCACUGCUGGUUCAUGCUUAGAGCUUGGUGUGGUGGAAACUCUAACCCAGGAUAGGAUGCCCGAGUAAGAAGAUGGUGCACAACCUCAUGCAGUCCACAACCCACCAAAUGCAGGGGGGAUUUUUUCUUUUAUUUUUUAUUUUUAUUUUUAAUUCCAUUGGCUUGCUCGUUGGUGAAAUUGACCUAUCUGGCAGGUUUGCACUGUUAUGUGCUUAGGAAGAUGCACCCCUUGUCAAUUCGAAUUUUGAAGACCCUGCAUGUAUGGUAGUGGUUGCACUUUGCAUGUAGGGAUGAAAUUGGUGCUCAACAAGUUGAUGGAAGGACUUGGAUGAGACUGCAUGCACAGAGAAGUUAGCUGAGAUUUUCUCUAUUCAGAAGGGCAUUUUUCUCUAUGAGGCCCGACUAGUUAGCUGGUAUCUCGGGCAUUUUUUUCAGAAAAAUCUGGGUGCCCUCUUCAAAAAAUUAAAAAUUAAAAAGAAGAAAACUUGCACCAAACACGGGUGAGUUGCUUGGUUUGACCUGGCCUGACUUGGCUGUAUCACCUGAAUCUGCAGAGACUCGUCCAAGUCAGCUGGAGUCAACCCUAGGUUUUGGGCCUUGUGGUGUUGAUCCGUAAUGGGUCCGACCAAGUCCAAGACUCAGACGAGUCGACUUGUCUUAAAGCCAAGCCCCAAGUCUAUUGUUUUCCCACUUUGACUUGGUAGACUUAAUGAGAAACUAGAUACUUGGUUCCUCAGAUGCGUUGGUGAAAAUCAGUAGGAAACAGAUAAAAAUAGGGG